AUGCUGGAUGAUCAUACUGCCCAAAAAAUGGAGGAAAACCAAAAUGAGCAGAAAGAUGGCAACGGUUGUGCAAUUCAAACACAGUUGAUUAACAAGUUACCACCUGUAUUGAUUAUUCCAUUUAAGAGAUACAGAAAUGAUCUGUCUAAACUGAGAGGACAUGUGAGCUUUAAGGAGAUUCUUCAUCUUGGACCAUUCAUGGACCCCAGUUCCGAGGAGAAAGACAAUUCCAGGUACCGUCUAGUUGGUGUCAUUGAGCACCGUGGUGACAACUUGCAUACAGGGCAUUAUGUUGCUUAUGUGCGGGGGGCAGGUCUCAAGCAUCGGAGCAGUGGUUCUUCCUCAUGGAUUUGCGCAGAUGACCGCAACAUCAAGGAAAUCUCCAUAGAACAAGUUGUCAGGUGUGAGGCGUACAUUCUUUUCUACGAGAGGAUAGAGGAGGGUGAGACAAGAGACAAGGAGGUGGAUGACAUGGUGGAAGACAAGGACGAAGGUGACAGACCCUUCCUCACCGAGGGACCCAGCGAGCUCUGUGAUGAUUUGCUUCUCAAUAUAUUCUCCCGACUUGAACACCGAACAGCCAUCCGUGUGUCGUCAUUGAGCCGUCACUGGAACAGAGAGUGGGACAUUCAUUUGCAGUCAAAUAGUUACUAUGUUGGUGAGAAUUCCUUUCUUCCAUGUGAGAUGCUACAAAUGCUGGAAAGCCAAGAAGCCAAUGGGAAUCGGUUAGACAUUCUAUGUCUUGUGAUUGAAUCAAAGGAUAUGUCUGAGAAGCUGUUCAGGCGAUGCCUCGAAUGCAUUGCUCGUUCUGGAAUCAAGGAUCUAUAUCUUGAGCGUCGGCCACCAUGCUUGGCUUUACGGUUCAGUUUCCCAAGAGCAAGCAAGCAGCUUGUGCGCCUGUCUCUUCGAGGAUUAACCCUGGCAAACUCUUCAAGAUAUUUCAAGAGAUGCAAGGACUUCUGUGAAUUGGUUGCUAUCAAACUGUGGGGCGUUACAGUAAGUGACUGGACAUUGAGAAAAAUUUUAGCCAAGUGUCCGGCUCUGCGAGUGCUAGAGCUGGGUUAUUGCCAUCACCUUGAGCGCAUAAGUGAUUCUGUUUCUGGACUCAAACUCCUUAACAUAACUGUGGUGGAGUGUAGUGGUGUCGAUUCGAUUGACCUGCGAUUGGUUCCAGAUCUUCUGUCGGUUUCUUUCAGUGGAUGUUACCUCACCAGUUUGUACUUUCCGCCAGAUGCAGAAAUCAGCAAGCUCUACUUCUGCUAUACAAGGACCGGAGACCAAUUAUGCUCCCAAGGAUUGUUAUCAAACAUGUUCAGCAAGUGCACCCUGAACUCCACUGCCUUGAGUACUCUAACCAUCUGCAGCAAUAGUCUGAAGGUGGUGACUUGCUUGAGCGAACCGCACAAAAUGGCUAUAGACUGGUCUUUCCAGAAUGUCCGAGAACUUCAAAUCGUGAUGUUUGAACAGAGUCGGGACAAUCUUGCGUCCUUUACUUACCUCAUGCAAAAUGGGCAAUUCGAUAUGCUUCAGAGACUUUUUGUGGAGCUCCCAGCAAAGAGAGGUGUAACUCCAUCGCAGCUUGGCAGUCAUGUGGUAGUGUCAGAGCGUGUCCUACAUAAACUCAAACUGAUCAAACUGACCAAUUUCUCCUGGAAUGAAGCCGAGAUAUAUUUGCUGCUUCUGCUUUUAAAGAUAUCUUCUUCACUGGACAAGAUAGUCGUAGUGUUUUCUGCUGGAAGCACAGAGGAGCAAGACCAGCACAGCCUGCCCUGGUUGCAUGACUCUGACAUUGAGCUAAUCAUAAGCCUUUUGGAUAGUGGGAAGUUAAUCCUGAAAAAUCACCUUGAUUAUGAUUAUAUAAAGCAUGGAGGAUCAGGACUUAUCUUUCCCGUGGCAGCCCAUGGGGAGAUCUACCGGCAGCCCUGA
rnacentral:rRNA from 1 species